ensembl:lincRNA 4930519D14Rik RIKEN cDNA 4930519D14 gene
GUCACCCAGGCUUCAGGCAUAACUGUUAAAGAGCUUGAUAAACACCUACCGUGGUUACCACUGCAAACAUGCUGCCGAGUAUUGAUGUUCCCAUCCAUAUUCCAUCCUUGUUUCUAACAGGAGGACUUCAGAUGGCACACUGCACACUGUCCUUGUGAUGGGUGAUUCGAUGGUUUACCAACUUGUAUCCAACAUUACUUCGUGAAAGAACAGUUCUAACAAUUUUGUGUGGGACCAUCUACUGAAGAGUGGCCAUCACACCUUGAGCCACACUCUCAAAGAAAACUGACACUCUCCCAGCAAUCAUCAGCUACCCACAGCUCCUCAGUGAGGGAUAAAUUCCACAAUGAACUGUUGUCAGGCUCCAUCUUGUGCAUAUCUUGGGCAGACAACCACAGUUCCUUUGAGUUCACGAGUGCAGUGGAUUUGUCAUAUCUAGAAGAUAGUGUUCUCUUCUGAUCCUCCCUGACCUCUGGCUCUUAAAAUCUUUUCUCCACACUUCCAUGAUGGUCCCCGAGCCUUGGGGAGGAAUGUGAUAUAGACGCCCCAUUUAUGACGGAGCUCUACUGACACUUCUCUGCACUUGGACCCGUUGUGAGUUUCUGUAUUAACCACAAUCCACUGCACAAAGAAACUUCUCUAAUGAUGUUUGAGAGCUGCACUAAUGAGAGCCUGGACCCAGAAGAAUACUCUCUACUUUCUUCCUCCAGAAAUUCAGAGUUUCCAGUCUAGUAGAUCAACCUGGAAUUGACUUGAGCACAAGACCCCUCAAGAUUCUACGUAUGAGAUCACAUCAUCUACAACUGGAGAUGGUUUUACUUCUUCUUCCUUUCCCAUUUAAUGGUUUCGACUUCUCCUUUCAUCUCCCCUCCUUUGGUCCUCCAGUACAGUGUGGGUUCAAACACUCCUUUCUGUCUUAUUCCUGAUCAUACAGAUGCUCUGUGUUGAGGUGUUUGAGAAAGUCCCCUUCCUUCAUUAGUGUUUUUUUGGGGGGCAUGUUUUUAUUGAAGAAAGUUAUUCCAUAUGGCUUUAUUGGCUGAUCUUUUCCAAUAGCAAAGCAAUUUUUAUUCAUUCAAAAAUUCCUCUUAAAAAUACUUUUUUAAAAAAUUUUGUGGCAAAAUAAACUGAUUUUAAUUG